AAGGAAUAUUGGUCAAUGGACGCAAGUCUGAACCAGCCAUGCCGCGUGAAGGAUGACUGCCCUCUGGGUUGUAAACUUCUUUUAUCUGGGACGAAAAAGGGUCUUUAUAGAUCAACUGACGGUACCAGAGGAAUAAGCACCGGCUAACUCCGUGCCAGCAGCCGCGGUAAUACGGAGGGUGCAAGCGUUAUCCGGAUUUACUGGGUUUAAAGGGAGCGCAGGCGGAUUAGUAAGUCAGUGGUGAAAGCCUUGAGCUUAACUCGAGAACUGCCAUUGAUACUAUUAGUCUUGAAUGUUGUUGAGGUUUGCGGAAUGGGUCAUGUAGCGGUGAAAUGCAUAGAUAUGACCCGGAACACCUAUUGCGAAGGCAGCAGGCUAAACAAAUAUUGACGCUGAGGCUCGAAAGCGUGGGGAUCAA
rnacentral:rRNA from 1 species